GAAAACUGUACAAUGUCCUAUGAGUUCCUGCAUUUCCAUCGAUCCAGGAAUCAUUCAUACUCAGAACCUGCAACACCAAUAAGUGUGUUAUUACUUUCUGUACCUUCAUAACACGUCACCAGCACUUACUGGCCAGGACAGAGGGAAUCUUACCAACUCACACAUGGCACUGUCACUUUAACAGAUUUCUUUCCCACCAGCACCCAAACCACCAG